rnacentral:rRNA from 1 species
ACAAGCCCUGGAAACGGGGUCUAAUACCGGAUACGACUGCUGAGCGCAUGCUCGGUGGUGGAAAGCUCCGGCGGUGCAGGAUGAGCCCGCGGCCUAUCAGCUUGUUGGUGGGGUGAUGGCCUACCAAGGCGACGACGGGUAGCCGGCCUGAGAGGGCGACCGGCCACACUGGGACUGAGACACGGCCCAGACUCCUACGGGAGGCAGCAGUGGGGAAUAUUGCACAAUGGGCGAAAGCCUGAUGCAGCGACGCCGCGUGAGGGAUGACGGCCUUCGGGUUGUAAACCUCUUUCAGCAGGGAAGAAGCGAAAGUGACGGUACCUGCAGAAGAAGCGCCGGCUAACUACGUGCCAGCAGCCGCGGUAAUACGUAGGGCGCAAGCGUUGUCCGGAAUUAUUGGGCGUAAAGAGCUCGUAGGCGGCUUGUCGCGUCGGAUGUGAAAGCCCGGGGCUUAACCCCGGGUCUGCAUUCGAUACGGGCAGGCUAGAGUUCGGUAGGGGAGAUCGGAAUUCCUGGUGUAGCGGUGAAAUGCGCAGAUAUCAGGAGGAACACCGGUGGCGAAGGCGGAUCUCUGGGCCGAUACUGACGCUGAGGAGCGAAAGCGUGGGGAGCGAA